GGAGGUAUCGCCUAGUGGCCUAUGGCGCUCGCUUGGAAAGCGGGUUGGGUUAAUAGCCCUCCGGGGUUCGAAUCCCCGUACCUCCGCCA
rnacentral:tRNA from 1 species